rnacentral:ncRNA from 1 species
CUAUGACAUUAAGUCAUGGCGGAAGGAG